UCUUCCACAAUGGGCGAAAGCCUGAUGGAGCAACGCCGCGUGAGUGAGGAAGGCUUUCGGGUCGUAAAGCUCUGUUGCCAGGGAAGAAUAGGUUGGAGAGUAACUGCUCCGACUGUGACGGUACCUGAGAAGAAAGCCCCGGCUAACUACGUGCCAGCAGCCGCGGUAAUACGUAGGGGGCAAGCGUUGUCCGGAAUUAUUGGGCGUAAAGCGCGCGCAGGCGGUUUCUUAAGUCUGGUGUCUAAGUGCGGGGCUCAACCCCGUGAUGCACUGGAAACUGGGAGACUUGAGUGCAGAAGAGGAGAGCGGAAUUCCACGUGUAGCGGUGAAAUGCGUAGAGAUGUGGAGGAACACCAGUGGCGAAGGCGGCUCUCUGGACUGUAACUGACGCUGAGGCGCGAAAGCGUGGGGAGCAAACAGG
rnacentral:rRNA from 1 species